rnacentral:pre_miRNA from 1 species
AAACUACUCCCUCCGUUCGGAAUUACUUGUCAUCAAAAUGGAUGUAUCUAGAACUAAAAUACAUCUAGAUACAUCCAUUUCAAUGACAAGUAUUUCCAAACGGAGGGAGUACAUG